rnacentral:rRNA from 1 species
UCUUGGUCAUUUAGAGGAAGUAAAAGUCGUAACAAGGUCUCCGUUGGUGAACCAGCGGAGGGAUCAUUACCGAGUUCACAACUCCCAAACCCCUGUGAACAUACCACUUGUUGCCUCGGCGGAUCAGCCCGCUCCCGGUAAAACGGGACGGCCCGCCAGAGGACCCCUAAACUCUGUUUCUAUAUGUAACUUCUGAGUAAAACCAUAAAUAAAUCAAAACUUUCAACAACGGAUCUCUUGGUUCUGGCAUCGAUGAAGAACGCAGCAAAAUGCGAUAAGUAAUGUGAAUUGCAGAAUUCAGUGAAUCAUCGAAUCUUUGAACGCACAUUGCGCCCGCCAGUAUUCUGGCGGGCAUGCCUGUUCGAGCGUCAUUUCAACCCUCAAGCACAGCUUGGUGUUGGGACUCGCGUUAAUUCGCGUUCCCCAAAUUGAUUGGCGGUCACGUCGAGCUUCCAUAGCGUAGUAGUAAAACCCUCGUUACUGGUAAUCGUCGCGGCCACGCCGUUAAACCCCAACUUCUGAAUGUUGACCUCGGAUCAGGUAGGAAUACCCGCUGAACUUAAGCAUAUCAAUAAGCGGAGGAA